rnacentral:rRNA from 1 species
GACGAACGCUGGCGGCGUGCUUAACACAUGCAAGUCGAACGGAAAGGCCCUGCUUUUGUGGGGUGCUCGAGUGGCGAACGGGUGAGUAACACGUGAGUAACCUGCCCUUGACUUUGGGAUAACUUCAGGAAACUGGGGCUAAUACCGGAUAGGAGCUCCUGCUGCAUGGUGGGGGUUGGAAAGUUUCGGCGGUUGGGGAUGGACUCGCGGCUUAUCAGCUUGUUGGUGGGGUAGUGGCUUACCAAGGCUUUGACGGGUAGCCGGCCUGAGAGGGUGACCGGCAACAAUGGGACUGAGAUACGGCCCAGAGUGCUACGGGAGGCAGCAGUGGGGAAUAUUGCACAAUGGGCGGAAGCCUGAUGCAGCAACGCCGCGUGCGGGAUGACGGCCUUCGGGUUGUAAACCGCUUUCGCCUGUGACGAAGCGUGAGUGACGGUAAUGGGUAAAGAAGCACCGGCUAACUACGUG